rnacentral:misc_RNA from 1 species
GAUGAAGAACGUAGUGAAAUGCGAUAAGUAAUGUGAAUUGCAGAAUUCAGUGAAUCAUCGAAUCUUUGAACGCACCUUGCACCCUUUGGCAUUCCGAAGGGUAUGCUCGUUUGAGUGUCAUUGUACUCUCACACUUCUGAUCCUUUGGAUUGGGAGCGGUGGACUUGGGUGUUACUGCUUUACUGUGGCUCACCUCAAAUGCAUUCGUGCAACUCUUGGUUGGACAUAGUACGGCGUGAUAAGUAUCUUCGCCGGCACCUCGCAAGAGGGUGGCUGAUCAGGAGCUCUGUGCUUUCCAACUGUCUUCAGACAACAACUGACAACUUGACCUCAAAUCGAGUAGGACCACCCGCUGAACUUAAGCAUAUCAAUAAGCGGAGGA